UGCCAGCCGCCGCGGUAAUACGUAAGGGGCAAGCGUUACCCGGAAUUAUUGGGCGUAAAGCGUCCGCAGGUGGUUUGGAAAGUCUGUUAUUAAAUCUCGUAGCUCAACUUCGAGGCUGUAAUGGAAACUCCCAAACUAGAGUAUGAGAGAGGUAUGUGGAAUGGUACAAGUAGGGGUAAAAUCCGUAGAUAUGUAUCGGAACACCAAAAGCGAAGGCAGCAUACUGGCUCAUUACUGACACUCAGGGACGAAAGCGUAGGUAGCAAAACGGAUUAGAUA
rnacentral:rRNA from 1 species